UUCCAUUCUGUCGUGAGCCUAGUAAACUA
rnacentral:piRNA from 1 species